rnacentral:lncRNA from 1 species
AAAAGAGUAACAUAUUUAUCUCAGAAAGAGUCUGAAUCAAUAUGCUUCAGCUGAGUAUCCCAGAGACAAAAUUCUCUAAAGUUGUCAUCUACUGGUUAUAAAGAAAAUUGAUGUGGGCAUCCGCUGAUGUGGGCAUCCGCUCAUAUUCAAGCAGUAUCUGGAACAGAAGGCAACUUUCUCAAACAUUAUUGAUCCUCAAGGAACUUUGCACAGAGUGA